UACAGAGGGUGCAAGCGUUGUCCGGAAUCACUGGGCGUAAAGGGCGCGUAGGCGGCCUGAUAAGUCGGGGGUGAAAUGCUGCGGCUUAACCGCAGCACGGCCUUCGAGACUGUCGGGCUUGAGCACGGUAGAGGCAGAUGGAAUUCCCGGUGUAGCGGUGGAAUGCGUAGAGAUCGGGAAGAACAUCGGUGGCGAAGGCGGUCUGCUGGGCCGUUGCUGACGCUGAGGCGCGACAGCGUGGGGAGCAAACAGG
rnacentral:rRNA from 1 species